rnacentral:rRNA from 1 species
GAAAGUCGGAUGUGAAAGCCCUGGGCUCAACCUAGGAAGUGCAUUCGAAACUUCCAAGCUGGAGUGCUGGAGAGGAAAGCGGAAUUCUCGGUGUAGAGGUGAAAUUCGUAGAUAUCGAGAGGAACACCGGUGGCGAAGGCGGCUUUCUGGACAGUCACUGACGCUGAGACGCGAAAGCGUGGGAGCAAAACAGGAUUAGAUACCCUGGUAGUCCACGCCGUAAACGAUGGGUGCUAGGUGUCGCGGGCUUUGACCCCUGCGGUGCCGUAGCUAACGCAUUAAGCACCCCGCCUGGGGAGUACGGUCGCAAGGCCGAAACUUAAAGGAAUUGACGGAAGGGCACACCAGGAGUGGAAUCUGCGGCUUAAUUUGACCCAACGCGGGAAAAACUCACCAAGGUCAGGACACGGUAAGGAUUGACGGACUGAAGGCUCUUUCUCGAUUCCGUGGAAAGUGGUGCAUGG